rnacentral:rRNA from 1 species
GACGAACGCUGGCGGCGUGCUUAACACAUGCAAGUCGAGCGAGAAACCUUCGGGUUUCUAGCGGCGGACGGGUGAGUAACACGUGGGUAACCUGCCUCAAAGAGGGGGAUAGCCUUCCGAAAGGAAGAUUAAUACCGCAUAAUAUUACAGUUUCGCAUGAAGCAGUAAUUAAAGGAGUAAUCCGCUUUGAGAUGGACCCGGGGCGCAUUAGCUAGUUGGAGAGGUAACGGCUCACCAAGGCAACGAUGCGUAGCCGACCUGGGAGGGUGAUCGGCCACAUUGGAACUGAGACACGGUCCAGACUCCUACGGGAGGCAGCAGUGGGGAAUAUUGCACAAUGGGCGAAAGCCUGAUGCAGCAACGCCGCGUGAGUGAUGAAGGUCUUCGGAUUGUAAAGCUCUGUCUUUUGGGACGAUAAUGACGGUACCAAAGGAGGAAGCCACGGCUAACUACGUGCCAGCAGCCGCCGCGG